UGACCCCAUAUCUCACAUCCCAUAUGGCCUCAUAUCCCAUAUGGCCCCACAUCCCAUAUGGCCCCAUAGCCCACAUGGCCCCAUAUCACCUAUGGCCCCAUAGCCCACAUCCCAUUGGCCCCAUAGCCCACAUGGCCCCAUAUCCCAUAUCCCCUAUGGCCCCAUAUCCCACAUCCCUUAUGGCCCCAUAUCCCCUGUGGCCCCAUAUCCCACAUCCCAUAUGGCCCCAUAUCCCCUAUGGCCCCAUAUCCCACAUCCCAUAUGGCCCCAUAUCCCCUAUGGGCCAUAGCCCACAUCCCAUAUGGCCUCAUAUCCCACAUGGCCCAUAUCCCGUAUGGCCCCACAUCCCAUAUGGCCCCACACCUAAUAUGACCCCAUAGCCCAAAUGGCCCCACAUCACAUAUGGCCCCAUAGCCCACAUCCUAUAUGGCCUUAUAUCCCAUAUGACCCCAUAUCACACAUCCCAUAUGGCCCCACAUCCCAUAUGGCUCCAUAUCCCACACCGCAUAUGGCCCCACAUCCCAUAUGGCCUCAUAUCCCAUAUGGCCCCAUAUCCCAUAGCCCAUAUGGCCCCAUAGCCCAUAUAGCCCCAUAGCCCACAUCCCAUACCACAUAUGGCCCUAUAUGGCCCCAUAUUCCAUAUCCCAUAUCCCACAUCCCAUAUAGCCCCACAUCCCAUGUGGCCCCGUAUCCCAUAUGGCCCCAUAUCACAUAUGGCCCCAUACCCCAUAUCCCAUUACCCCAUAUGGACCCACAUCCCAUAUGGCUCCAUAUCCCACAUCCCCCUAUGGCCCUAUAUGCCCCCAUAUUCCAUAUCCCGUACCCCAUAUGGCCCCAUAUCCCACAUCCCCAUAUGGCCCUAUAUGCCCCCAUAUAUCAUAUCCCAUACCCCAUAUCCCAUAUGGCCCCAUAUCCCCCAUGCCACAUCCCAUAUGACCGCGUAUCCCAUAUGGCCCCACACCCCACAUCCCAUAUGGCGCCGUAUCCCUCACCCCACAUCCCAUAUCCUGUACACCAUAUGGCCCCAUAUGACUCCACAUCCCAUACCCCAUAUGAUCCCACAUCCCAUAUCCCAUAUGGCCGGAUAUCCCAUACCCCAUAUAGCCCCACAUCCCAUACCCCAUAUGGCCCCGUAUCCCACACCCCACAUCCCAUACCCCAUAUGGCCCCACAUCCCAUAUCCCAUAUGACCCCACAUCCCAUAUCCCAUAUAGCCCCGUAUCCCACACCCCUUAUCCUAUACCCCAUAUGGCCCCAUAUCCCAUAUGACCCCUUAUCCUAUACCCCAUAUGGCCCCAUAUCCCACACCCCACAUCCCAUAUCCCAUAUGGCCCCACAUCCCGGGGCACUAUUUUUGCACUAUCACGACAUAAAGGGCACUAUCGGGGCACUAUUGUGGCACUAUCGCGACAUAAAGGGCACUAUUGUGGACACUAUCAUGACAUAAAGGGCACUAUUGUGGCACUAUCAUGGCACUAUCAUGACAUAAAGGUCAAUAUUGUGGCACUAUCACGACAUAAAGAGCACUAUCGUGGCCCUAUCAUGGCAUUAUCACAACAUAAAGGGCACUAUUGUGGCACUAACACGACAUAAAGUGCCCAAUCGUGGCCCUAUCAUAGCACUAUCACGACAUAAAGCGCACUAUCGUGGCACUAUCGUGACACUAUCGCGACAUAAAGGGCACUAUCGUGGCACUAUCGUGACUUAAAGGGCACUACUGUGGCACUAUCAUGACAUAAAGAGCACUAUCAUUGCACUAUUGUAGCACUAUCACGACAUAAAGGGCACUAUCCUGGCACUAUCAUGACACAAAGGGCACUAUCGUGGCACUAUCGUGGCCCUAUCAUAACAUAAAGGGCACUAAUGUGGCCCUAUCACGACAUAAAGGGCACUAUCGUGGCACUAUUGUGGCACUAUCAUGACAUAAAGGGCACUACUGUGGAACUAUCGAGGCCCUAUCACGACAUAAAAGGCACUAUAGUGGCACUAUCGUGACAUAAAGGGCAACAUUGUGGCACUAUCAUGACACAAAGGGCGCUAUUGUGGCCCUAUCGUGACAAAAAGGACACUGCUGGUGUCCACACCUUGCACGUUGUGUCACCAUCAGUUGCACUUGUUUGUCCACA
rnacentral:lncRNA from 7 species